ensembl:lncRNA
AGGGAGCUGAAGCCGGGCCCUGGGAAACGGACUCCAGAUCCUUUGUGCUCUGCCCAGGACGAGGCCAGAGGUGACACAUGCACCUUCUCGGCUCCAUCCUAGGUCCUGUACCUCUGGGAUACAGAUCCACCCCAUCUACAUUUAUAUCUAUAACAACCAUCCCUGCUCUUCCCCCUUUAGCCCUUCCAUAGUCUGACCUUUCUGAAGACCAGAAGCAAAGCAAGAGGUGGACAGAGGGCUGUGUUCUGGAAUGUUCUCCAGUUUCGUCUGCCUCCACCGGCCUUGCAGCCUCACAGUGAGGUCUGCCAGCUUGUGCCGUGCCGAGACUUCUGUAACCAGGCCUUUUGGUUUAUUUUAUGGAGAACAUUGAGCGACAAGGAGGGAGCCCAUUUAGCCUGGUCAGUACCAGUCUAGGUUGUGCCAACUAUCCUCAGGCCUCCUCAGAAGGAAGAAACCACAGUAAAUUGGAGCCAUUGCUGUUGCUGUUGGGGGCAGUCUGCUCAGAGACAGCUCUGGAGUCCUUCUUGGGAGCCUGCUUACGUUUUUCCUCUCUAGUCUGUUUUGAGGACUGGAGCGGGCGGGGGGUGAGUAGGGUCCGCACAACUCGGAUAGCCACCACUGCCCCUAAGAGUCCCCAUAGCAGGAUAGAAGGCUCCAGAGGAGACAGCUGUGCCCGCACCCAGUUCAGUGUCUGAGCAAGGGCAUUUUUGGAGCUGCGGGCCCGGGGUGGACUCUUAUCCUGUGGAGACAAAACCAAAAAAAGCCCACAAGGUUUACUCUGGCAACCGGCAAGCGCCCUGCCACCUCUCACAGUUCGGCCGGCUCCUUCAUACCUUUAGUCCAAACUGUUGGAGCAGUGUCUCCAGGGUUGGGUCCCCCAAGGAUACAGAUGGGAAGAAUUCCUCUACCCACUGGCGGUGCCACCAGCGGCUGUAACAGAACUGGAGAGUCAGCGUGCAGCUAUGGCAGGCCCCGCCCCCAUCCAUCCGCCACUGCAGCCUCACCUCUGAUCCCCAGGCUUUGAGAACCAGUACUUAUAGCGCUGGGCCCGCAGCCCCUUUCCUGGCCCAUCCCUCACCUGGCUCCUUGCCCUGCAGGAGGCGCAGCACCAGGCUGGUGAACCAGGGGCUGUGUGUAUGUGGGCCAAGGGCUGCAAACCACAUCUGCCAAUCAAGGCGCGGCUGGUGAGGAAUCAGGAAAGGGGGUGGUCGGCUCACAUUCCCAGGUUUGUACAUGAAUUCAAUCUCCUGACAGACGGACAUAUGGUUAGCUGGGGUGGCUGGACUUGGUCCCUUUACCUCCCACAUCCUCUGGGAGGGCUCACUGUCCAAUGGUGUCCAUCAUGGCUGCCCUCUAGCACCACUUCAGGUCGCCCCCCCAGGCCAGUCAUCCGACGGAAAAGGCCGUAAGAGUUGGCCAGCUGCAGGUGCUCCACAGAACUGAACAGGCGAUGAGCCCCAGUCCAGAGACGACCGUGGGUCCCAGGCUCCACAUAGGAGUAAGGCACCUGCAGGCAAACAGACAAUAGCUCAUUGCUGCCCCAUCUUCCCCCCACCCCGGUCUUCACAGGGUUACCUACCAGGCUGAUCAGGAACAAGAACACUGUAGCAGUGCCCAGGACUGAGAGCUGGAUACCCGCAAAGAACUUCCGUGACCAUCCUUGUACCUGGA